GCUCAAAUUUGAAAUCUCCUUCGGGCGAAUUGUAGUUUAGAGAAGCGUUUUCGGCUCGACGGUUGGUACAAGUUCUUUGGAACAAGACAUCAUAGAGGGUGAAAAUCCCGUCUUUGACCAAUCUCACGGCCUUGUGAUACGUUUUCCAAGAGUCGGUUUGUUUGGGAAUGCAGACCAAAAAGGGAGGUAAAUACCUUCUAAAGCUAAAUAUUGGCGAGAGACCGAUAGCGAACAAGUACCGUGAGGGAAGGAUGAAAAGAACUUUGAAAAGAGAGUGAAACAGUACGUGAAAUUGUCAAAAGGGAAACGUUUGAAAGCGGUAUUGCGGCUAGGAUUUCAGCUUUUGUGGAUGGUCCUGGUGGCGAGUCAACAUCAGUUCGGUUGGGAGCAAACAGCCGUGUGAAGGUAGCCCUCGGGUGUUAUAGCGCAUGGUCGUACUCUCGACGGGACUGAGGACAGCAGCGUUUUUGGCUUUGCACACUCGCGCUUGGGAUGUUGACGAAAUGGUUUUAAGCGACCCGUCUUGAAACACGGACCAAGGAGUCUAACAUAUAUGCGAGUAUUUGGGUGGCAAACCCUUGUGCGCAAUGAAAGUGAAAAGGUGGGAUCCUCGGAGCACCAUCGACCGCGCCAGAUUCCGAUCUCGGCGUGAGUAUGAGCAUAGAUGCUGGGACCCGAAAGAUGGUGAACUAUGCCUGAAUAGGGUGAAGCCAGAGG
rnacentral:rRNA from 1 species